rnacentral:rRNA from 1 species
GAUCCAGACUCCUCGGGAGGCAGCAGUAGGGAAUCUUUCACAAUGGGCGAAAGCCUGAUGGAGCAACGCCGCGUGCAGGAUGAAGGCCUUCGGGUUGUAAACUGCUUUUAUAAGCGAGAAAUAUGAUGGUAACUUAUGAAUAAGGAUCGGCUAACUACGUGCCAGCAGCCGCGGUCAUACGUAGGGGGCAAGCGUUAUCCGGAUUUACUGGGUGUAAAGGGAGCGUAGACGGCUUGGCAAGCCAGAUGUGAAAGGCUGGGGCUCAACCCCAGGACUGCAUUUGGAACUGUCAUGCUAGAGUGUCGGAGAGGCAGGCGGAAUUCCUAGUGUAGCGGUGAAAUGCGUAGAUAUUAGGAGGAACACCAGUGGCGAAGGCGGCCUGCUGGACGAUGACUGACGUUGAGGCUCGAAAGCGUGGGGAGCAAACAGGAUUAGAUACCCUCGUACAG